GUGCCAGCCGCCGCGGUAACACCGGCAGCUUAAGUGAUGUCCCAUAUUAUUGGGCCUAAAGCGUCCGUAGCUGGCUGCGCAAGUCCGUCGGGAAAUCCACUCGCCCAACGAGUGGGCGUCCGACGGAAACUGCACAGCUUGGGACCGGAAGGUUCGAAGGGUACGUUCGGGGUAGGAGUGAAAUCCCAUAAUCCCGCACGGACCACCGAUGGCGAAAGCACUUCGAGAAAACGGAUCCGACAGUGAGGGACGAAAGCCAGGGUCUCCAACCGGAUUAGAUACCCGAGAGUCC
rnacentral:rRNA from 1 species